UUCUCAGUUCGGAUCGGAGUCUGCAACCCGACUCCGUGAAGCUGGAUUCGCUAGUAAUCGCGCAUCAGCCAUGGCGCGGUGAAUACGUUCCCGGGCCUUGUACACACCGCCCGUCAAGCCAUGGAAGCCGGGGGCGCUUGAAGUGCGUUGCCGCAAGGCGCGCCCUAGAGCGAAACCGGUGACUGGGGCUAAGUCGUAACAAGGUACC
rnacentral:rRNA from 1 species